AUACGGCCAUAUCACGAUGACACUACUGGUUCUCGUACGAUCACGGAAGUUAAGCAAUGUCGAACCUGGUCAGUACUUAGUUUACUUCUUGGGAAUACCAGGUGCUGUAA